rnacentral:snoRNA from 1 species
UCAUCAGUUAGGGAUAAUCCUUUCCUGUUACCUCUACCGAGGUAGCAAGAUGAAUAUGAUGAGAUGGUUUGGAUGAUCUAUAUGAUUACUCUAUGGGAGUGGGGAUCAUGACAACCCCCCAUAACCCCAUCUCUGAU